UGUGAUUCCAACAGCUACCAAUGUGUC
rnacentral:piRNA from 1 species